ensembl:lncRNA
ACUAGAAUAUCAAUACACAACAUAUUCCUCCCCUUUACUUUUGAUAUCUUGUAAGGAAAACGUAAAUAUUCACUGUUUUUCAUAUUAUUUUCUUUUCAACAUAACUGUUCUCUUUAUGUACAUAAAGGAACUUUUCAGACUAACCUUUUCUGACCUAGGGAAAGAGGGAAGACUGCCUCAUUUCCCAGACUUAACCCUGGGGUGUAUUCUGCCCCAAUUUCGGAGGCCCCUUCGUUGCGACGUCCCCUGAAUGCCCAUCUGCUAGCCACUAGCUGUCUAGAGCAUAUUGGACUGUUAGCUGAAUAGAUCCAUUUGCCAAUUGGACUGGACCCCUCUGCUACACGGAACUCUACUAAUCCAUCACGACUGGUCUAUUGACGGAACCGCACGAGGAGGCUAAACCAGACUUCUCUCCGUCGCGACGUCCCUCUAAGGCCCUUUCUGCUAGCUUGCUAGCCCUGGCCUGCUAGCUGUCUGAAUCACUGUGUCUCCAGCCAGCCCAACCAUUCACUGGACCCUUAUGAUCACUCGGCUAUGCAUGCCUCUCCCUAAUGUCAAUAUGCCUUGUCCAUUACUGUUCUUGUUAGUGAUUAUUGUUUUAUUUCACUGUAGAGCCUCUAGCCCUGCUCAAUAUGCCUUAACCAACCAUGUUGUUCCACCUCCCACAUAUGCAAUGACAUCACCUGGUUUAAAUGUUUCUAGAGACAAUAUCUCUCUCAUCAUCACUCAAUGCCUAGGUCUACCUCUAAUGUACUCACAUCCGACCAUACCUUUGUCUGUACAUUCAUUAUGCCUUGAAUCUAUUCUAUCUGGCCAGAAACCUGCUUAUUUUACUCUCUGUUCCAAACAUACUAGAUGACCAGUUCUUAUAGCCUUUAGCCGUACCCUUAUCCUAGUCCUCCUCUGGUGUUGUAGAGUUUAAUCCAGGACCUGCAGUGCCUAUCUCCACUCCUAUUCCCCAGGUUCUCUCAUUUGUUGACUUUUGUAACCGUAAAAGCCUUGGUUUCAUGCAUGUUAACAUUAGAAGCCUCCUCCCUAAGUUUGUUUAUUCACUGCUUUAGCACACUCUGCCAACCCGGAUGUCCGAGCCAUGUCUGAAUCCUGGCUUAGGAAGGCCACCAAAAACCCUGACAUUUCCCAUCCCAAACUAUAACAUUUUCCAACAAGAUAGAACUGCAAAGGGGGCGGAG